rnacentral:rRNA from 1 species
CAGUAGCCGCGGUAAUACUAAGGGUGCAAGCGUUACUCGGAAUUACUGGGCGUAAAGCGUGCGUAGGUGGUGGUUUAAGUCCGUUGUGAAAGCCCUGGGCUCAACCUGGGAAUUGCAGUGGAUACUGGGUCACUAGAGUGUGGUAGAGGAUAGUGGAAUUUCCGGUGUAGCAGUGAAAUGCGUAGAGAUCGGAAGGAACAUCUGUGGCGAAGGCGACUAUCUGGGCCAACACUGACACUGAGGCACGAAAGCGUGGGGAGCAAACAGGAUUAGAUACCCCGGUAGUCCCUGUCUCUUAUAC